GUUUAUUUGAAAUGGAAUAAAUGUCUGUUUCCAAGCAUCUCAACUUGUGGAGCGAUAUCUUGUAGGCCGGCUGAGCUGAACAGUGGUGUCCCUAUUAUCGUCCCUAGCUGUUGUAAUAGCUUCUGGAGAACAUGAGCCGCUAGUAACAAUAUCUACAAAAUGGCAUUCCUAACUCAGAGACCUGGAAAAAAAGAAAAAUUGUGAGAACACAGAGGAAGGCAGACCACAGUUUUUGCACCCAAAUGACGAC